rnacentral:rRNA from 1 species
GACGAACGCUGGCGGCGCGCUUAACACAUGCAAGUCGAGCGAAGGGGCGGACGGGUGAGUAACACGUGAGUAACCUGUCUUAGACCUUGGGAUAGCCUCGGGAAACCGGGAUUAAUACCAAAUGGUCUAAGAUGGACUCGCGUGCCAUUAGCUAGUUGGUGGGGAACGGCCCACCAAGGAGACAAUGGGUAGCCGGCCUUGGAGAGUGAGCGGCCACUUUGAAGCUGGGCAGCGGUCCGAACUCUACGGAAGGGAGCAGUGUGUGAUAUAGCACAAUGGAGGGAACUCUGAUGCAGCUCGGCGGCGAGAACGAAGUAGGCUUUCAAGAAGUAAAGUUCUUUUAUAUGGGAAGCGGUACCAUAAGAAAAAGCCCCGGCUAACUACGUGCCAGCAGCCGCGGUAAUAC